AUAUCUUCGUCGUCCUCUUCCUAGCCCUCUUCAUUUAUACACUACCUGGAAACAUGCUGAAUGCCAUCAUGAAUGCCAUCAUCUGAUUGGCCAGUUCUCAUCACAUUCGCUCUCUCUUGCCCAAUCAGAAUCAAAUAUGCCAAACAGCACCUCUGACUCAUCAAAUAAGCCCUAUUGGGCUGAAAUCAACCUGUAUCAUUUAAUUGCAAGCCUUCAUGAACUGGCUGUUCAGCUGAUCAACAGACCCCUUAGACGAACAUUUUGGAUUUAUGAAGUGCUCAUUUUACUAUAACUAAAGCUGUAUAUUAUCUAAGAAAUACAAAUACUGAAAAUUUCUAUUUCCAGCCCAACUUUUCCACAUACGUUCUAUGAAAAUAUUCUUGUAAUUCAAUAAAACAAAUUUUAAAUAA